GUGAGGAAUAUUGGUCAAUGGGCGGGAGCCUGAACCAGCCAAGUCGCGUGAAGGAAGAAGGAUCUAUGGUUCGUAAACUUCUUUUGCAGGGGAAUAAAGUGCAGGACGUGUCCUGUUUUGUAUGUACCCUGAGAAUAAGGAUCGGCUAACUCCGUGCCAGCAGCCGCGGUAAUACGGAGGAUCCGAGCGUUAUCCGGAUUUAUUGGGUUUAAAGGGUGCGUAGGUGGUUUGAUAAGUCAGCGGUGAAAGUUUGCAGCUUAACUGUAAAAAUGCCGUUGAAACUGUCUGACUUGAGUGUAAAUGAGGUAGGCGGAAUGCGUGGUGUAGCGGUGAAAUGCAUAGAUAUCACGCAGAACUCCGAUUGCGAAGGCAGCUUACUAAGCUACAACCGACACUGAAGCACGAAAGCGUGGUGAUCAAACAGGAUUCUCAACCCUGGUAGGCC
rnacentral:rRNA from 1 species